rnacentral:rRNA from 1 species
UUCUAAAGCUAAAUACUGGCCAGAGACCGAUAGCGCACAAGUAGAGUGAUCGAAAGAUGAAAAGCACUUUGAAAAGAGGGUUAAAUAGCACGUGAAAUUGUUGAAAGGGAAGGAUUUAUGACCAGACUUUUUCUGGGCGGAUCAUCCGGUGUUCUCACCGGUGCACUUCGCUCAGUUUAGGCCAGCAUCGAUUUUCGGUGGGGGAUAAAAGCUUUAGGAAUGUGGCUCCUCCGGGAGUGUUAUAGCCUAUUGUAUAAUACCCUACUGGGGAUCGAGGUACGCGCUUCUGCAAGGAUGCUGGCGUAAUGGUUAUCAAUCACCCGUCUUGAAACACGGACCAAGGAGUCGAACAUUUGUGCAAGUGUUUGGGUGUUAAACCCUCACGCGUAAUGAAAGUGAACGGAGGUGAGAGCCCUUACGGGUGCAUCAUCGACCGAUCCUGAUGUUUUCGGAUGGAUUUGAGUAAGAGCAUAACUGUUCGGACCCGAAAGAUGGUGAACUAUGCGUGGAUAGGGUGAAGCCAGAGGAAACUCUGGUGGAGGCUCGCAGCGGUUCUGACGUGCAAAUCGAUCGUCAAAUCUGCGCAUGGGGCGAAAGACUAAUCGAACC